CGGCUCGGAUUGGGGGAAUGGUGAGGAUUUUAGCAUCAGUGCUAACCUGACAGGAUUAUUCAGCUUUAAAUUUCUGCAUUAUUGAUGUGUAAAUGAUGAGGGCUGUGCAGGCUGGGUUACUGAACACAGAUCUCACUAAGGUAAUCUUUCCCUUUGCUCAGAUGCUAGCAGCUCCUGUUGGCACUGUGGAACAUGCCGGAUGCCAGGGUGUGUCUGAGACUGGGGCACUUCCAUGGUAGGAAGCUCACGGGUCAGGAGGAGGAUGUCCUGUGUUUAUAGAGUAUAUAGAGUUUAUAGAAUGUU
rnacentral:lncRNA from 1 species